rnacentral:rRNA from 1 species
UACGGAAGGUCCUGGCGUUAUCCGGAUUUAUUGGGUUUAAGGGGAGCGUAGGCGGGAUGCUAAGCGUGCUGUGAAAUACCGCGGCUCAACCGUGGGAGUGCAGCGCGAACUGGUUUCCUUGAGUGGGCGGAAGGUACGCGGAAUUCGUGGUGUAGCGGUGAAAUGCUUAGAUAUCACGAGGAACCCCGAUUGCGAAGGCAGCGUGCCGCAGCCUGACUGACGCUGAAGCUCGAAGGUGCGGGUAUCGAAC